GACAGGCCCUACUGCCUGUAAACACACAGUCCAGUUCAAAGUGAAUGAUGGCAGGUCCUACUGCCUGUAAACACACAGUCCAGUUCAAAGUGAAUGAUGGCAGGUCCUACUGCCUGUAAACACACAGUCCAGUUCAAAGUGAAUGAUGGCAGGUCCUACUGCCUGUAAACACACAGUCCAGUUCAAAGUGAAUGAUGACAGGUCCUACUGCCUGUAAACACACAGUCCAGUUCAAAGUGAAUGAUGGCAGGUCCUACUGCCUGUAAACACACAGUCCAGUUCAAAGUGAAUGAUGACAGGUCCUACUG